rnacentral:rRNA from 1 species
GAUGAACGCUGGCGGCGUGCUUAACACAUGCAAGUCGAACGAAGCACUUUUAUCGAUUUCUUCGGAAUGAAGUUUUAGUGACUGAGUGGCGGACGGGUGAGUAACGCGUGGGUAACCUGCCUCACACAGGGGGAUAACAGUUGGAAACGGCUGCUAAUACCGCAUAAGCGCACAGUACCGCAUGGUACGGUGUGAAAAACUCCGGUGGUGUGAGAUGGACCCGCGUCUGAUUAGCUAGUUGGCAGGGCAACGGCCUACCAAGGCGACGAUCAGUAGCCGACCUGAGAGGGUGACCGGCCACAUUGGGACUGAGACACGGCCCAAACUCCUACGGGAGGCAGCAGUGGGGAAUAUUGCACAAUGGGGGAAACCCUGAUGCAGCGACGCCGCGUGAGCGAAGAAGUAUUUCGGUAUGUAAAGCUCUAUCAGCAGGGAAGAAGAAAUGACGG